rnacentral:rRNA from 1 species
UCUGCCGUGGGCGCAGGAAAUUUGAGAAGAGUUGCUCCUAGUACGAGAGGACCGGAGUGAACGAACCUCUGGUGUUCGGGUUGUUACGCCAGUAGCAUUGCCCGGUAGCUAUGUUCGGACAGGAUAACCGCUGAAAGCAUCUAAGCGGGAAGCCCCCUUCGAGACGAGAUUUCCCUUAGGACUUGAUCCUACUAAAGUGCCGUUCAAGACGAGGACGUUGAUAGGCUGGGUGNNNNNNNNNNCCAUAUAAUCAUGGGUUCUGACUGAACAUAAGUUCAGUUCAU